rnacentral:misc_RNA from 1 species
GAGCGGAGUAGUAGUAACACUAUUGAUGAAGGAUUUAAUUUUGGGAGGCACUUCCAAAGACCUCCUCCGCUUGAGCUUCAUCUUGAAUCAAAGAGCAUUGCCAGCGCAAAAUAAAGCGAUUGACAAUCGAUCAAUUCUCCAAAAUCGAGAACCGAUCGGCGGCCCAAAAGAGAAUAAAUUAGUAACAAUUAGAUAGUAAU